rnacentral:rRNA from 1 species
UGGGGAAUAUUGGACAAUGGGCGAAAGCCUGAUCCAGCCAUGCCGCGUGUGUGAAGAAGGCCUUUUGGUUGUAAAGCACUUUAAGUGGGGAGGAAAAGCUUAUGGAUAAUACCCAUAGGUUCUGACGUUACCCACAGAAUAAGCACCGGCUAACUCUGUGCCAGCAGCCGCGGUAAUACAGAGGGUGCGAGCGUUAAUCGGAAUUACUGGGCGUAAAGCGAGCGUAGGUGGUUUAUUAAGUCAGAUGUGAAAUCCCUGGGCUUAACCUAGGAACUGCAUCUGAUACUGAUAAACUAGAGUAGGUGAGAGGAAAGUAGAAUUCCAGGUGUAGCGGUGAAAUGCGUAGAUAUCUGGAGGAAUACCGAUGGCGAAGGCAGCUUUCUGGCAUCAUACUGACACUGAGGUUCGAAAGCGUGGGUAGCAAACAGGAUUAGAUACCCUGGUAGUCCACGCCGUAAACGAUGUCUACCAGUCGUUGGGUCUUUUAAAGACUUAGUGACGCAGUUAACGCAAUAAGUAGACCGCCUGGGGAGUACGGCCGCAAGGUUA